rnacentral:lncRNA from 1 species
UUUUGAUUUCAUUUUAAAAAAAUUUUUUUAUGGCCCAUCUAAUGUUUCUUUUUUGGGAACUCAAAAUUCUUGAUUUGUGACCCAUACUCAUGAAGUUGGAAAUAUAUAUAUUUUUUGAUAGGUCAUGAAGUUGAAGAUAUGCAUUGUGCAUAUGCUUCUUGCUUCUCUUUUCUCCAAUUUAUUGUACAAUCUUACUUUACCAUUAUGUUAAUUGCAAUGAAUUGUCAACCACUUACAUCUUAGUGAAAAUAAGUGUUUCUAAUCAAAUUAAUCAUUAAUCAUAUGGUAGACCUAUCUGGUGUCAGUGAGGAGUUUUUAAUGCAAUGGUUCCAUAAAGUAGUGACUUCCUAUUAGUUGUAUCUGAUCUGCUUAAUGUAAUAUGUAUAUGACAGCUACAUACAUAAUUUGCAAUAGAAGGUGCUAUUAUGUAUGGAAAAGAGUAACAUUAGGAAAAAGAUAUUGAGAGGACCUUGGUGCUCUAAGGGUAAUUUGUCCUGUUAAAAAUAAGUUACGCUUUAAGCUGGGAAAACACAAAUAGUGCUGUUGGUCAAAAAUCAGUAAUCUCUAGUGAGUUAUUAUGAUGUAAACUUGUGCAAAUUGCAUAAAAGAAUCUAUUUUGUAGGGAAGAAAAAAUAAGAUUGCUGAGCCUUAUCAUUGCUAAAAGAGAUGGAUCAUGUUACCCCAUCUGUUUCAUAGCCUCUGGGUCCUAUUUUUGUAGGAAUUCUCGUUAGAGUCUUGCAUUGCAAUCCAUUGUAGAAUCUCUUCUACAGAGUUAUGGUUGCAAAUAUUAAUGUGUAUUAAAGGGAGCAUUACACGAUUAAUUUUGGUCACUUUUCGUAAAUUUUUCCCAUCUUUCAAACCAGAAAACUCACAUGGUGCCAUUAUGUGGUUUUACUGAAAGCAUUAUGUUCUCUAAGUUCCAUUUCCAUAUCUUUAAAAAGAAAAUCUCAUGCAAAACAUGAGUAAAUUGUAUUUCAAUGUAUCAUGUAAGGAGUAGCCUAUGGAAGGUCUUAUAUAUUCUUGAUAAUUUGAUGUAUAUUCAAUAUAACUUCAACAUGGGUGGUCAUAGAGCUAGGAAUAAGGAGCCAAUAUCAUGGUCGGACGAGAAUGAACACUCUUUUAUCAAAAUUCUUUAUGAGAAAGUGAAAUGAAAUGCAUUGCAAUGUUCUACAUUCAAGAAAGACGAAUUGGGCAGGAUCAAUGAAACCAUGAUAGCUUCAACAAAA